GGCCCUGAUAACAUUUCCUAAUGAGGGAAUAACUGAAUGAGUCGUCGAUUUGCUAUUACUUCCUCCCGGUCCAGCAGCUACAAAAGUUUUGGAGCAAGAUGCAGUAAGGGGUGCACAGCAGAUAUCUACAAUAAAAAGAAGCAUUAAAUGGAAUUUGCAAAGAUUCAGCAAGUCAUCCAAAAUAUUGACAAACUUCUAUAGCGGUAUGGUGGUGAGUAUAUUGACUGGUUGCAUCAUGGCCUGGUAUGGAAAUACCAAUAUCCUUGUACAGAAAAACCUACAAGAAUAGUUGCCCAGUCAAUCAUGGUAAACUCCCAUGUAACAUUCCCAAGAAAUUCUACUUAUGAUUGCUCAAAGUGGAGAAGCUGUAUUCUGGAUGGCAUUGCGAACCUCAAGUCCUUCUUCGGGAGCAGACAGAUGCUCAAUACUAAUAGCGGAAAGAACACACCACUGCUCAGUCCACCCGCAUAUCCACUCUGUCAAGUAAUCCUUCCCCACAGUGGAAAUACCUGUGGGACCUAAAAUGACUUCAUCAGAAUCUUCCAUCCCUCCCAUUAUCCAGGCCAUGCUCUCUUCUCAUUGCUGCCAUCAAGAAGAAGGUACAGGAGCCUCAGAAUCCACACUACCAGGUUCAGGAACAGUUAUUAUCCCUCAACCAUCAGGAUCUGGAACCAGAGGGGAUAACUUCAGUCAAUCCAUUACUGAAUUGUUCCCACAAGCCAUGGACUCACUUUCAAGGAAUCUUCAUUUAAUGUUCUCAAUAUUUAUUGCUUAUUUAUUCAUAACUAGUAUUAUUUUCAUUUGUACUUGCACAGUAUGUUGCCUUUUGCACAUUGGGUGUUUGUCAGUCCAAUCAAGUAUGGUCUUUCAUUCAUUCUAUUGUAGUUCUUUGGAGUUACUGUGUAUGCCUGCAAGAAAAUAAAUCUCACGGUUGUAUAUGGUGACAUAUAUGUACUUGGAUAAUAAAUUUACUUUGAACUUUGAACUUAGAACUCGAACGGAAACAGAUUAUCCAUGACCCAAUGGUCUGCUUAAGAGAAAGAGUCUAAUGAUUAGAAACAAGA